rnacentral:rRNA from 1 species
UACAGAGGUCCCAAGCGUUGUUCGGAUUCACUGGGCGUAAAGGGUGCGUAGGAGGCCGGGAAAGUCUGAUGUGAAAUCCCACCGCUUAACGGUGGAAUGGCAUUGGAUACUGCCCGGCUGGAGGACUGGAGGGGAAAGCGGAAUUCCUGGUGUAGCGGUGAAAUGCGUAGAUAUCAGGAGGAACACCAACGGCGAAGGCAGCUUUCUGGACAGUUCCUGACUCUGAGGCACGAAGGCCAGGGGAGCAAACGGG